UCCGUCUUGGCGACGGCAGUCCCAUUAGAGUGCUCAGCUUUACCUUGGAGGCCCUAUCUCUAGGGUUGUCAGAGGCAUUCUAGCCCAGGUAAGGUUCUUCGCGUUGCGUCGAAUUAAACCACAUGCUCCACCGCUUGUGCGGGUCCCCGUCAAUUCCUUUGAGUUUCAGUCUUGCGACCGUACUCCCCAGGCGGAAUGCUUAAAGCGUUAGCGACGGCACCCGGGGACUAUGUAACCCCAGACACCAAGCAUUCAUCGUUUAAGGCCAGGACUAC
rnacentral:misc_RNA from 1 species